rnacentral:rRNA from 1 species
UGGGGAAUAUUGGGCAAUGGGCGCAAGCCUGACCCAGCGACGCCGCGUGGGGGAAGAAGUCUUUCGAGACGUAAACCCAUGUUGUACGGGACGAAGGAAGUGACGGUACCGUACGAGGAAGCCCCGGCAAACUACGUGCCAGCAGCCGCGGUAAUACGUAGGGGGCGAGCGUUGUCCGGGAUCACUGGGCGUAAAGCGCACGUAGGCGGGCUGUUAAGUCGGCCGUGAAAUACACUGGCUCAACCGGUGCAGGUCGGUCGAUACUGGCGGUCUGGAGUAUGGGAGAGGGAACUGGAAUUCCCGGUGUAGCGGUGAAAAGCGUAGAUAUCGGGAGGAACACCAGUGGCGAAGGCGGGUUCCUGGCCCAUGACUGACGCUGAGGUGCGAAAGCCGGGGGAGCGAACGG